rnacentral:rRNA from 1 species
UACAGAGACCCCAAGCGUUAUCCGGAAUUAUUGGGCGUAAAGGGUGAGUAGGUGGUUUUAUUAGUCGAGUGUUAAAGUUCUUGGGCUUAACCUAGGAGAUGCAUUCGAAACGGUAAAACUAGAAUAUGUAAGAGGUAUGUGGAACUCUAUGUGUAGGGGUAAAAUCCGUUGAUAUAUAGGGGAACACCUAAAGCGAAGGCAGCAUACUGGUACAUUAUUGACACUGAAUCACGAAAGCGUGGGUAGCGAAUGAG